rnacentral:rRNA from 1 species
CCUACGGGAGGCAGCAGUGAGGAAUAUUGGUCAAUGGACGAGAGUCUGAACCAGCCAAGUCGCGUGAAGGAUGAAUGCACAGUGGAUUGUAAACUUCUUUUAUCUGGGAAUAAAGGGUUGCACGUGUGGGAGUUUGUAUGUACCAUAUGAAUAAGGAUCGGCUAACUCCGUGCCAGCAGCCGCGGUAAUACGGAGGAUCCGAGCGUUAUCCGGAUUUAUUGGGUUUAAAGGGAGCGUAGGUGGAUUGUUAAGUCAGUUGUGAAAGUUUGCGGCUCAACCGUAAAAUUGCAGUUGAAACUGGCAGUCUCGAGUACAGUAGAGGUGUGCGGAAUGCGCGGUGUAGCGGUGAAAUGCUUAGAUAUCGCGAAGAACUCCGAUUGCGAAGGCAGCUCACCGG